AGACGCACUUCCGCCAGCGGCCAGGCAGGGCGCAGAGGAGCUAGUUAGAGCUGGGCUGGAGCUGCCACCCAGCCCAGGUAGUAAGACUGGCAGGAAGAGAGCAGGACGCCGCCGCCCGAGUCCCCCAGCUCAGCCAGGUGCGGGCGGGAGGAGCCCCGUCCUUGCUUAGCCCCGCGCUGGAAGCGCCGUCCGAGACACUGCACGGGGCAGACUGGUGGGUGUCCCGGCCCUGGCACCGCGGGGUUGCCCUAGCCAACCGGAGCCCAGCUCCCCCACGCGGGCCGGACGUUUCCCCAGACGUUGCGAAGUCCGACUCUGGUUCACAGAUGCCGACCUGGUCGGUCUAUGCGGACCACCCUUUUCUCCAACGUGACCGCCGACUAUUGGAAGUUUUUUGUGAUCUGUCAGGCCCUGAUGGCUUAAGGAACAUAGCCAGAUCUUCCCGAGUCCGAGGCUCGUUAUGGUUGUCCACUGAUGAUCUGCCAUUUCGUUUAUGUUACAGAAUAAACAGGGAAAGUGUUUGUAGUCUGGUUGGUUAACACUGUAUUUUGCCUUAUUCUUUCAAAGAUCUAAACUAGUGGAAGGCAACCUGUAGAACCCGCUUCCAUGUCCUUUAUCUUGAAUGAUUCCUGAAACAGCCUUUCUCCAAACCUGCUCCAGAAGUCCCUGAAUUAAUCCUUAGAGCCCAGGAAGUGAAGAUGUCUUUCAAAGAUGCCGAUUGGGUAACAGAAGCUAAGCACAGAGAAGGCAGUAGAGGGCCUUAUUGCGUGGUCCUAAGUUGUGUGCCAAAAAACAGAGAAGUGUCCCUGAGCACCAGGUGUGGUCUCCCCUGCCAGCCCCUCGAUGACCAGGUCAUAAAGAUAACUGCAAUCCUUUACUGAGGUCUUACUAAGUGCUAGGCACUGAGUCUAAUGCUUUCCAGGCACUGCAUCUAAUGCUUUUUGUAAUUUUUCUUAAAAAAAAAACCCUAUAUUAUCAGGUCUGUGGUUUAAUCACAUUGUACCAAUACUAUUUUUUGGCCUUGCAAUUGUGCUAUGGUUAUGUAAGAUUUUAAUAUAAUAGGAAGCUGGGUGAAGGAUAUAGGGACUGUUCUAUACCUUUUUGGAAAUUUUCUGUAAGUUUAAAAUUAGUUCAAAAUAAAAAGUUACAAACAAAAUUAGAAGCUUGUUUUUAACGGCAGAAAAGGAAUAAAAAUUUAGAGAUUAAGCCACUACACAUAAGAGAAUGUGACAACAUUCGAGCCCAGGGCUUUUGGAAUCCUCAGCCCAUGCCCUUCACCACUGCCCACCAUGUUAAUCCUGGGUAACAGAUAGGCCCUGCCUAAAUCAGUUACGCACACAGCCCCCUACCUAUGUUAACAUAAUUUUACUAUUCAACUGUCUUUGCUAAUGUGAUACUACUAUUCCACUGUCUUUAUCAACAUGACUUUACUAUUCCAGGAC
rnacentral:lncRNA from 10 species